UGAGUAACGCGUGGGAAUCUACCCAUCUCUACGGAACAACUCCGGGAAACUGGAGCUAAUACCGUAUACGUCCUUCGGGAGAAAGAUUUAUCGGAGAUGGAUGAGCCCGCGUUGGAUUAGCUAGUUGGUGGGGUAAUGGCCUACCAAGGCGACGAUCCAUAGCUGGUCUGAGAGGAUGAUCAGCCACAUUGGGACUGAGACACGGCCCAAACUCCUACGGGAGGCAGCAGUGGGGAAUAUUGGACAAUGGGCGCAAGCCUGAUCCAGCCAUGCCGCGUGAGUGAUGAAGGCCCUAGGGUUGUAAAGCUCUUUCAACGGUGAAGAUAAUGACGGUAACCGUAGAAGAAGCCCCGGCUAACUUCGUGCCAGCAGCCGCGGUAAUACGAAGGGGGCUAGCGUUGUUCGGAAUUACUGGGCGUAAAGCGCACGUAGGCGGAUAUUUAAGUCAGGGGUGAAAUCCCGGGGCUCAACCCCGGAACUGCCUUUGAUACUGGGUAUCUCGAGUCCGAGAGAGGUGAGUGGAAUUCCGAGUGUAGAGGUGAAAUUCGUAGAUAUUCGGAGGAACACCAGUGGCGAA
rnacentral:rRNA from 3 species